rnacentral:Y_RNA from 1 species
UGUGGUUCCAGAAGGGUUGACUCGUCAGUGGCAGAUUGAAGCCCUCAUUCUGCCCUUUCCUCCCUUCUCACUACUGCACUUGACCUGUCUUUU